CUAACUGGAGGACCGAACCGACUAAUGUUGAAAAAUUAGCGGAUGACUUGUGGCUGGGGGUGAAAGGCCAAUCAAACCGGGAGAUAGCUGGUUCUCCCCGAAAGCUAUUUAGGUAGCGCCUCGUGAACUCAUCUCCGGGGGUAGAGCACUGUUUCGGCAAGGGGGUCAUCCCGACUUACCAACCCGAUGCAAACUGCGAAUACCGGAGAAUGUUAUCACGGGAGACACACGGCGGGUGCUAACGUCCGUCGUGAAGAGGGAAACAACCCAGACCGCCAGCUAAGGUCCCAAAGUCAUGGUUAAGUGGGAAACGAUGUGGGAAGGCCCAGACAGCCAGGAUGUUGGCUUAGAAGCAGCCAUCAUUUAAAGAAAGCGUAAUAGCUCACUGGUCGAGUCGGCCUGCGCGGAAGAUGUAACGGGGCUAAACCAUGCACCGAAGCUGCGGCAGCGACGCUUAUGCGUUGUUGGGUAGGGGAGCGUUCUGUAAGCCUGCGAAGGUGUGCUGUGAGGCAUACUGGAGGUAUCAGAAGUGCGAAUGCUGACAUAAGUAACGAUAAAGCGGGUGAAAAGCCCGCUCGCCGGAAGACCAAGGGUUCCUGUCCAACGUUAAUCGGGGCAGGGUGAGUCGACCCCUAAGGCGA
rnacentral:rRNA from 1 species